rnacentral:rRNA from 1 species
UACAGAGGUCUCAAGCGUUGUUCGGAUUCAUUGGGCGUAAAGGGUGCGUAGGCGGUUGUUUAAGUUUGGUGUGGAAUCUCCCGGCUCAACUGGGAGGGUGCGCCGAAUACUGAAUGACUAGAGUGCGGGAGAGGAGAGUGGAAUUCCUGGUGUAGCGGUGAAAUGCGUAGAUAUCAGGAGGAACACCGGUGGUGUAGACGGCUCUCUGGACCGUAACUGACGCUGAGGCACGAAAGCGUGGGUAGCAAACAGG